AGAACGAACGCUGGCGGCGUGGAUAAGACAUGCAAGUCGAACGCGACUUAUUUUGUUAGCAAUAACAGAGUAAGUUGAGUGGCGAAAGGGUGCGUAACACGUGGGAAUUUACCAAGAAGUGGGGAAUAGCUCGACGAAAGUCGAAUUAAUACCGCAUGUGAUCGAAAGAUCAAAGUCGGGGACCGCAAGGCCUGACGCUUUUUGAGAAGCCCGCGGCCCAUCAGCUAGUUGGCGGGGUAAAAGCCCACCAAGGCUAUGACGGGUAGCUGGUCUGAGAGGACGACCAGCCACACUGGAACUGAGACACGGUCCAGACACCUACGGGUGGCAGCAGUCGAGAAUUUUUCACAAUGG
rnacentral:rRNA from 1 species